rnacentral:rRNA from 1 species
UGGGGAAUCUUCCGCAAUGGGACGAAAGUCUGACGGAGCAACGCCGCGUGAGUGAAGAAGGUUUUCGGAUCGUAAAACUCUGUCUUUUGGGGCGAACGUGAGUAUGGUGAACAAUCAUAGUCAGUGACGGUACCAAAGGAGGAAGCCACGGCUAACUACGUGCCAGCAGCCGCGGUAAUACGUAGGUGGCAAGCGUUGUCCGGAAUUAUUGGGCGUAAAGAGCGCGUAGGCGGGAUAGUCAGUCUGUUGUAAAGUGCGGGGCUCAACCCCGUGAUCGCAAUGGAAACAGCUAUUCUUGAGUGCAGGAGAGGAAAGUGGAAUUCCCAGUGUAGCGGUGAAAUGCGUAGAUAUUGGGAGGAACACCAGUGGCGAAGGCGACUUUCUGGACUGUGUCUGACGCUGAGGCGCGAAAGCCAGGGGAGCGAACGGGAUUAGAUACCCCGGUAGUCCUGGCCGUAAACGAUGGGUACUAGGUGUGGGAGGUAUCGACCCCCUUCCGUGCCGGAGUUAACGCAAUAAGUACCCCGCCUGGGGAGUACGGUCGCAAGACCUGGAAACUCAAAUGAAUUGACGGGGUCAUAGCUGUUU